rnacentral:tRNA from 1 species
GGGCCGGUAGAUCAGGGGAAGAUCGCUUGCUUCGCGAGCAAGAGGUCGCGGGUUCAAAUCCCGCCCGGUCCA